rnacentral:rRNA from 1 species
UACGAAGGGGGCUAGCGUUGUUCGGAAUUACUGGGCGUAAAGGGCGCGUAGGCGGUGAUCUUUGUCAGAGGUGAAAGCCCGGGGCUCAACUCCGGAAUUGCCUUUGAAACGGGAUUGCUUGAGUCCGAGAGAGGAUGGCGGAAUUCCUAGUGUAGAGGUGAAAUUCGUAGAUAUUAGGAAGAACACCGGUGGCGAAGGCGGCUCUCUGGACCGUAACUGACGCUGAGGCGCGAAAGCGUGGGGAGCAAACAGG